rnacentral:lncRNA from 1 species
AAAUUAUGACUUUUGUUACACCACUAGUAACGAGUCUCCUAGUCAAACCAAUGCCUAUACUAUGCGACACCCUCCACGUCACACAUCACUGUUGAUGCACCGAAGUGAAGACAAUGCACACAUGCUGAUCCAAAUCUCCAAAGUGAUUCGAGUCGAAACAAGUGAUGACAAAGUGACACGACUGGAGACAUGCUUGCUAAAAGAGGUCAAGGCACCUCGAUGCAAUAUAGGGAUUUUUUGUGCAAAGAUCCGUCUAAGAUAAAAUCUUUUGACUAAUGGAUACGACGUCAUGCGACAUGCACCAAAAUGUCAAAUCAAAUUUAUUUUGUUAGAAAACAUUACACACUUGUCCACCUAUGGAGUGAUUGAUUGACGCCUAGAAGGA